CCGAGCCGUAUGAGGCAGGAAACUCUCAAGUACGGUUCUAAGGGAAGGAAAUUACCCGCCUAUUCCGAC
rfam:Triticum urartu cultivar G1812 contig748394, whole genome shotgun sequence.